rfam:Mesocricetus auratus contig088427, whole genome shotgun sequence.
AAUGCUUUGCUGAAGCUGGUAAAAUGGAACCAAAUCGGCUGUUGGAUGGAUUUGGUCCCCUUCAACCAGCUGUAGCUGCGCAUUGAU